rnacentral:rRNA from 1 species
CCCUUAGAUGUUCUGGGCCGCACGCGCGCUACACUGAUGCAUUCAACGAGUUUCUUCCUGGUCCGAGAGGAAUGGGUAACCUUUUGAAAGUGCAUCGUGAUAGGGAUAGACUAUUGCAAUUAUUGGUCUUCAACGAGGAAUUCCUAGUAGACGUAGUUCAUCAGACUGCAUCGAUUACGUCCCUGCCCUUUGUACACACCGCCCGUCGCUCCUACCGAUUGAGUGCUCAGGUGAGCCAUUCGGACUUUCAUCAUGCUGGUUUCCAGUUUUGAUGAAGGAAAGUCUUGCGAACCUUAUCAUUUAGAGGAAGGAGAAGUCGUAACA